rnacentral:rRNA from 1 species
UACGUAGGUGGCAAGCGUUGUCCGGAUUUACUGGGUGUAAAGGGCGUGUAGGCGGGAGAAUAAGUCAGAUGUGAAAUUCCAUGGCUCAACUGUGGCGCUGCAUCUGAAACUAUUUUUCUUGAGUGCUGGAGAGGAAAGCGGAAUUCCUAGUGUAGCGGUGAAAUGCGUAGAUAUGACAUAGAACACCAAUUGCGUAGGCAGCUUACUACACGAUCAUUGACGCUGAGGCACGAAAGCGUGGGGAGCAAACAGG